UGACUGAGCCUCCCAGGCACCCCUCAAACACUGCCUUAAGCCAGAUUUCACCCACCCAAAAAUCAUUAGCUGUGUGUCUUAUCCUUGUAGAUUCUCUUUUUUUUUUUUUAAUUUUCAUUUAUUUAUAUUAGUCACAGAGAGAGAGAGAGAGGCAGAGACACAGGCAGAGGGAGAAGCAGGCUCCAUGCACCGGGAGCCUGAUGUGGGAUUCGAUCCCGGGGCCUCCAGGAUCACGCCCUGGGCCAAAGGCAGGCGCCAAACCGCUGCGCCACCCAGGGAUCCCUCCUUGUAGAUUCUCAAGAAAGGAGGUUAUUCAACCUUUCUCUGUAGUCAAGGAUUUUGUUCUCCAUGUAACCUGAACUCUUCUACAGCUUGAAACCGGUCUUCCUCCAUCCACAGAAGAGGUGGGAAACAUCUGGCAAAGCCUUCCACAGCCUGCUCUGGGAUCUGCCACUGAGGCGCAGCCAACCACAUUUUUGGUGUAUGCCUAGAAGAUGCUGGAGGGGAACUGAAAGGCUGGAGGAAGAAGAAGGACAUGCUCCUUCCCUGACCACUUCCGGCUCCUUUAACAACUUUGCACUAGGUUAUCAAUCAAGUUCUCUCUGUUCAAAUAUCUUCUCACUGGACCCUGACUGACACACACCUGGAGUUCGCCCUGUGCUUGUAUUCAUUCAACAAGCAGGCGACACCCACACUGAUCCAGAUCCAUUGUGUUUUUGCUCCUGAUCCAGAGGGUGCCUCUUCUAUUUCUGUUUCUGAUUACCUUAUUCAACGAAAUAGUAUAUAACUCAACAAAAUGAAGACACUCUGGCAAACAGUUCCCCAGGGUAACCUCAAAUGAAUGAAAAAUAGCUUCUUACGUAAGUCUGGGCACAUCUCUCUUCUAUAAGGUAGAAAGAAACAAAAUAAUUCAGCACAACCCCACGUUUUAUGGAAGAGGAAAGCAACUCCACGUAUUUAAAUGACUUGCCAACGUCACCAAGUAUUUAGAUGAUAAAAUAGGACUAGAACUCAUCUGGUGCUCUUUCCAAUGCGAUAUGCAUACAUAAAUUUGAUUCUUACAGGACUGGCCAAAAACAAACUAGAAAGAAUGUAGAGACUUUUCUCCUCAUGUUCUUUACUUAAUGUUGAUAUAGCUGAAGUCCCUGGAAAAAUUCACCUUUUGAGAACAACAGCCUUGAAGUCAGAAUCAGUGGCUGUGACAGAUAAACUCUGUCAACCUUCAUGUCCAAGCAGCGAUCCCCAGGGGGUCAUCUGGAACCUGCUCCACUUAAAAGGAAUUUUCCAUUUUAGAAUCAAGUGCACAGAUGACCCUCCCGGUCAUAUUAUUUCUGAAUCUUUGUACUCAAUAGUCCCUCUACUUGAAAUUCUUUCUACCUAUUAAACAUUUUCCAAGACAUGGAUAGAUGUGAAAAUUUUAAAAUGUUGACUAAAUAAGAAAGUUGCAGAAGGAGGAGUAUAGUAUAUAACAUCACUCAUGUAACUUCUCUACUUUUUAGUUACAUACAAUAAAAUGUACUUUUCCUGCUAUACAGUUCUAUGAGUUUUGACAAAUUCAGAGUUACGUUGCUUUUGCCACAAUCAAGAUACAGCACAGUUUCAUCACACACAUCCCUAAAUUUGCCUCUGCUACCUCUUAGUCAAACCUCACCCUACUCCCCCAAAUCCCCCCAUGCUCUUACAACCACUGAUCUCUAAGUUGUCAUUACAGCCUUCUUCUCCAGAACAUUCUGUCAAUGGAACCAUAGUGUAACCUUUUGAGAUUGGCUUUCUUCACUCAACAUAAUGCCCUUGAUAUGCUCCAAGUUGUUGCUUAUAUCAAGUUAUUUUAUUCAUUAUUAGGUACUAUCCCACCUCAUAGAUGACCUGUUUUAUUUACCCAUUCCUAAGUUGAGAGACAUUUAGGUUUCCUGUCAGCCUUUGACGCUUAUCAGUAAAGCUGCUGUUAAACACUCACACACAAGUUUUUGUGUGAACAUAGAUUUUCAUUUCACUUAGCAACAACACAGAAAUAGGAUUGCUGGGCAGUUGAGUAAGUACAUAUUUAACUUUAUAAGAAACUGCCAAGCAGUUUUUCUGAAUGGGAGUUCCAGUUUUGCCACAUCCUUUCCAGCACAUGGCAUUGCCAGGCUUUUUAGUUUUUAGUCAUUUUAAUAGCUAUAGGUAUAUAUUUCAUUGUGGCUUAAUUCGAUUUUUUUCUAAUUACUAUCAAUUUGAACAUUCUGAAAGUGAUUGUCAUUAGUAUAUCUAUCUAGCAUAGAAGUAUUUGCUCAAAUGUUUUGCUCAUUAAAAAAAAAAAAAACAACAACCAACUGGGAGUGCG